GGGGCAUUAGCUCAAUUGGGAGAGCGCUGCCUUUGCAAGGCAGAGGUUAUCGGUUCGAGCCCGAUAUGCUCCA
rnacentral:tRNA from 4 species